UACGGGGGGGGCAAGCGUUGUUCGGAAUUACUGGGCGUAAAGGGCUCGUAGGUGGCCAACUAAGUCAGACGUGAAAUCCCCAGGCUUAACCUGGGAACUGCGUCUGAUACUGGAUGGCUUGAAUUCGGGAGAGGGAUGCAGAAUUCCAGGUGUAGCGGUGAAAUGCGUAGAUAUCUGGAGGAACACCGGUGGCGAAGGCGGCGUCCUGGACCAAUACUGACACUGAGGCGCGAAAGCGUGGGGAGCAAACAGG
rnacentral:rRNA from 1 species